GUCAGGAUAGCUCAGCCGGUAGAGCAGAG
rnacentral:tRNA from 1 species